GACGAACGCUGGCGGCGUGCUUAACACAUGCAAGUCGAGCGGAAAGGCCCUUCGGGGUACUCGAGCGGCGAACGGGUGAGUAACACGUGAGUAACCUGCCCCAGACUUUGGGAUAACCCUCGGAAACGGGGGCUAAUACCGGAUACGACACAGCUUCGCAUGGGGUCUGUGUGGAAAGUUUUUCGGUUUGGGAUGGGCUCGCGGCCUAUCAGCUUGUUGGUGGGGUGAUGGCCUACCAAGGCCACGACGGGUAGCCGGCCUGAGAGGGCGACCGGCCACACUGGGACUGAGACACGGCCCAGACUCCUACGGGAGGCAGCAGUGGGGAAUAUUGCACAAUGGGCGGAAGCCUGAUGCAGCGACGCCGCGUGAGGGAUGACGGCCUUCGGGUUGUAAACCUCUUUCAGCAGGGACGAAGCGUAAGUGACGGUACCUGCAGAAGAAGCGCCGGCCAACUACGUG
rnacentral:rRNA from 1 species